rnacentral:lncRNA from 1 species
CCCGGGAUCCCAGAUAAUUGGAGACAGGCCCCGGCAAGGUUGCCGGAUGUGUUUUUUAUUCCGGUGGGGGUGAGAAGGCUAAGGAAGAGAGGAAAAAUACCGGGGUUGUCUCCUCCUCCGCCGAGCGCCACAAUAAACAUCACACCAAGACACCAUAUCUGACCCCGCCAUGUAGAAUUUGGUGUGUUGGGACCUCGUCCACAGUCUUGCUCUCCUGCUUGCCAUAAAACCUGACGGAUGUCUUUAUUCUACCGACCAGGGGACGCCAGCUUCCUGUCUCCUUCUUCCUCCUCUCCUCUCCCCGCCCAGCGCCGCCGCCGCCGCCGCCGCCGCCGCCGCACUUCCAUCUUUGGCGAACUGAUCCCCAGCCCUGGCCCGCCUGCUCCGUCUUUGUUUUUCCGCGGUGCCAGGCUCCAGCAGGAGGGUCAGCGACGGGACAUUUCCAAAUGAGAAAUAGUUGGCCGGGCGUCCUGGCUGCGCCUCAAAAACGUCCUUUUGAGCGGACUGCUGCACCGCCGGCGCUGCUUUGGUGUACGCCUCUCCUGCCAGACCCUUGUUUCUUCUUCUCACUCAGCAUCUUCAUCUCUGCUCUAGAAACGGUGCAGCCACGUGUUUUGGUUGUCAUGGAUGAUCGAUUGAACCCGGUUCUGUUGAUCAGCUUUACCUGGUAUCGUGACACUGCUUACACGGUAAAUCCGGGGUCAUUACAUCGUCACUCGUCUGCUCCGUUGCCAGGGACGACAACCCAACCCCCCAACCCCUCAUUAGCGCGCUGACGGAUCCGGAGUGAUGAGUUCUGUGUAGGUGGUCUCCUUGGAACCCUGGAAACAGAAAACCGCAUCCGUAAAAAAGGAGGCUACAAACUGGAGGAAAUGACAGUGUGUGAUGAACAAACACACACACACACACACACACACACACAGGGAGAGAGAGAGAGAGCGGGAGCGCUUGUUAUGACUGAUCGUGACGCGCCCGUCAAUCUCAGAGACGCUGCUGAUUCAC